GAAGAAGAAGAAGAAGUAGUAGUAGUAGUAGAAGAAGAAGGGUACACAACCUAUGAAAAGAUGCCGGAGGAAAAGCCAGAAAUUGUGGUUUCCCCUGCCCCUGACGUGGCCGCUGAGCCAGCGCAACCUGCCGGCCUAGCUGUUGACGGUUCGACACUCCCGGACAUGACUGACUCAAAUGAAGAGAAUAGUACGCCACAGUGUCAGGUGAGUUAUACAUUUCUAGUUUUCUGAUAUCACGUUAUUGUUUGCAAUGCCUGAGUUUGCUAGCCGACAACAUAGCUAUAAGGGUAGUUUAAGCAAACCGCUAACAAACCGUAGCCUACAUAUACAUGAACCCUUCGGAGAUAUUGAUUACUUGCUGUAAGCAUUAGAGGUGGCAGAAUGACAAAACAUGUUUCUCUCUCUAUCACAAUUUUGGGUUGACCAGAACCUGGACCAACUUCUGUUUCCUGUUCUACAAUGGGCAUAGACCUUGCGUUAAUUUUCAACCGGACAGAU